rnacentral:rRNA from 1 species
ACGUAGGACACAAGCGUUAUCCGGAAUUACUGGGCGUAAAGCGCCUGCAGGCGGUUGAAUAAGUCAUGCGUGAAAGCGCCCGGCUAAACUGGGCGAGGACGGAUGAUACUGUUUGACUAGAGGGUGAUAGAGGCGAGUGGAAUUCCGCGUGUAGUGGUGAAAUGCGUAGAGAUGCGGAGGAACACCAGUGGCGAAGGCGGCUCGCUGGGUCACACCUGACGCUGAGAGGCGAAAGCAUGGGGAGCGAACGGGAUUAGAAACCCCGGUAGUCCAUGCCGUAAACGAUGUGUGCUAGAUGUGGGGAUAUCGAAAGAUGUCUCUGUGUCGAAGCUAACGCGAUAAGCACACCGCCUGGGGAGUACGGUCGCAAGGCUA